UACGGGAGGCAGCAGUGGGGAAUAUUGCACAAUGGGCGCAAGCCUGAUGCAGCCAUGCCGCGUGUAUGAAGAAGGCUUCGGGUUGUAAAGUACUUUCAGCAGUGAGGAAGGUGGAUAUGUUAAUAGCAUAUUCAUUUGACGUUAGCUGCAGAAGAAGCACCGGCUAACUCCGUGCCAGCAGCCGCGGUAAUACGGAGGGUGCGAGCGUUAAUCGGAAUUACUGGGCGUAAAGCGCAUGCAGGUGGUUUGUUAAGUCAGAUGUGAAAGCCCGGGGCUCAACCUCGGAAUUGCAUUUGAAACUGGCAAACUAGAGUACUGUAGAGGGGGUAGAAUUUCAGGUGUAGCGGUGAAAUGCGUAGAGAUCUGAAGGAAUACCGGUGGCGAAGGCGGCCCCCUGGACAGAUACUGACACUCAGAUGCGAAAGCGUGGGGAGCAAACAGGAUUAGAUACCCUGGUAG
rnacentral:rRNA from 1 species